UGUAAGUUUUAACAACCAUUAGAUGACCUAAGUGUGUUAGAAACAAUUUAAAAAAGAUUAUAAAUUAUUUUAAUUAAUGCAGGUACAAUUUUUAUAUAUACAGGUACAUGUAUCUUGUUUUAUUUAGUUACAUGCAUUGUUAUACUUAUCUAAAUCUUUUUAAAUAUUAUAACUGAUGAAGGGGCAAAUCAUCCUUUUGCAGAUCACCAAACGAAGACGUCAAAGUGAUGUCUGUAGGUUCCAUGUUGGAUUCUGAUACAACAUCAGUCAUUUUCCGAGGGCCACGGAAAACAGGUUUACAUUUUUAGUGAAUAAGAAAUGAGUUUUCUUUGUGGUUGGUGAGAAAUGAUUUCAAUUAAUUAAGACAGUUUCCUAAACAAUAUAUUAAAUGAAAUCUCAUCAAUUUUAGGACUAAUUAAAAGAUUUCUAAAGGAUACAUUUUGGGGGAAAUUGGAUUUCUUGAUUUGUGAUACUCCUCCAGGAACAAGUGACGAGCACAUGGCGAUCGUCAAACUCCUAAAAAACGUCAAACCAGACGGAGCCAUUCUAGUCACCACGCCUCAAGAAGUUGCCGUGGCAACCAUUAAAAAAGAAAUUAGUUUCUGCCGAAAGAUGGGAGUGGCUGUCCUUGGUCUGGUAGAAAACAUGAGUGGACUGGUGUGUCCUUGCUGCAAGGAGACAUCUGAAGUUUUCCCUGGGAGAGGAGUUGUGUCCCUUGCAGAGAGUCAUAACAUACCCAUAUUAGGAAGUCUCCCCAUGGAUCCAAAGGUAACAGAGUGCUGUGAGAAUGACAGAAACCCCUUGGAAAAUUACCCAGAAUCCCCUACUGUCCAGGGUAUUAUGGAGAUAUCUAGUCGUCUGAUUGGCCUAGUCAACAAUGGAUGACCUCAGUGAAAAUACCCCUCUUUCCACAGUAUUAUAAAGACCCAGAGAAAGGGAGAGAAUCAAAUCCUGUAGUGUGCUAGACAUGAACUAAGUCAAAGUGGCUUUUACUUGCUGCUGAAGUAUUCCUUUGACAGCAGAGUAACUCAACUUCGCAAGGAGGAGGUCAACAAUAGUGAAUAAAUGCCAUAUGAUAAUCCACAACAUAUACAUUACUAAACGACAUCAGGGAGAGAACAAGGAAGAUGUUUCUGUUUUCUGGUGCUAGUACAUUUUUACCUGUAUUAGUUGCAUUGUAUCAGUUGAUACAAAUAAACAGUGAAUGUGUAUUCUUUGUGUAUCCUUACGGUUUCAUUUUUUUUAAAUUGUACAUGUGUAUUCUACAGAGAGAUUUUGUGUAUAUUGAAUAAUUAUUUUGGUGCUAGCUUUCAUUAGGAUGUUCAUUAUGUAAAACAUAAAUAUAUUAUAUGUAAUAUAAACUGAAAAGAAUUAAUAUUGUGAAUUGGUUUAAAGUUUGUAUUUUGAUAGUCAUAAGAAUGUAUGAAAAACUUUUUCCAUCUUAAUUCAAUCUUGUAUAAUUUUAAUUUCAAUUUCUUUAUUGACCAAUUAACAUGGGAAAGGUCCUCAAGGGGCAACAUGAAGAUAGUUCAAUAAACAUUCAAUAAACAUACAUGUAUACAAGAGGGAAAGAGUUGGAUGAUUGAAAGAGCUAGGACAGACAUGAACAUUUAGUGUGUGUGUGUGUGUGUGUAUAUAUAUAUGUUUCUAUACUCAAUAAAUAUGUAUGUUUAUAUCAAUGUAUACAUUCUGAUACAAAUUUAUAUUGUGAAUAGUGUAAUAAAGAAU
rnacentral:misc_RNA from 1 species